rnacentral:lncRNA from 1 species
AUCUCUGUACAUUAAGUAUGAUGAAUGAAGAAACAAAGGCUUUGACUCUAAGUGUCUGCUCAUCAGGAGGAGUUUAGAAGACGAACAAUGCAUACAAGAGAAUCAGUGACAAGAGGAAGUCUGCUGAGCUAAACCAGAAGGCUGGAAUGAGGACCUGUAGCCACCUGAGAAGCCAUAGCCAACGCCUUGGAGGGGUCCGAAUGCAGGUGUGUAACUCACAGGCAGCGCUGGCGAGCAGUCCAGGUCCCGGAGUUCCACCUCAUUUCAUUUCUCAAGCCACUGACUCCCGUCUACUAGACUGUGGCAUUUUCCUUCCACUGGACUCAUUUCCUUACCAUAAAAACAUUUAGUAUCUAUUUAAAAAUGAUCCCCCAUGUGUAGCCACUUUCCCCUCUAAUGUCUACUCAGUGCC